UUUGGAUCAAGAGGGGCAUCACAUUGGGCACCUCAAUAGGAUUGGGUCGAGCCAAUUAGUCGGCUUAUUUUCUCUUUUUCUCCCAUGACUUAGUGCAAUUUUUUUUGAAAAGGAUCAUGUGGGUCGCAUGCCACCUCUGGAUAAGAUCAAGAGGAGCACACGCCUCAUAUGCAUGGUACAUAGAAUUGCAUGGAGAAGUGAGAGGGGCACACGCCCUUCUCUGAUUUCAGCUUGUGG
rnacentral:lncRNA from 1 species